GCUCAUUAAUCUGGUCAAGAGCCUCAAGGAGGGUUGGCCCCUUGUACCAGUCAAGGUUGGUAGACCUCUCAAUCAUAUUGUCCCCCUCGAAACCAGAGAUGGGGACAAAGGGAAUCUUGUCAGGGUUGUAACCAACCUUCUUGAGAUAGGAAGAAACUUCCUUCACAAUUUCAUCAUACCUAGCCUUGGAGUACUUUGGGGUGGUAGCAUCCAUCUGCCAAAAAUAACAGAAUUAGCAUGGCAUGAAAUGUUUAAAAUAAUAAUUAAUUAUAAGCUAUCGAAAAAAGUAAACCUUGUUGCAGCAGCAAAUCAUUUGCUUGACACCAAGGGUGAAAGCAAGCAAUGCGUGCUCACGGGUCUGACCAUCCUUGGAAAUACCAGCUUCAAAACCACCAGUGGUAGAGUCAAUAAUAAGAACAGCACAAUCAGCCUGGGAAGUACCAGUGAUCAUGUUCUUGAUAAAGUCCCUGUGUCCAGGGGCAUCAAUCACAGUGCAGUAGUACUUAGUGGUCUCAAACUUCCACAAGGCAAUAUCAAUGGUGAUACCACGCUCACGUUCAGCCUUAAGCUUGUCAAGCACCCAGGCAUACUUGAAUGACCUCUUGUUCAUCUCAGCAGCUUCCUUCUCGAACCUCUCAAUAACACGCUUGUCAAUACCACCAAGCUUGUAGAUCAAAUGGCCAGUGGUGGUCGACUUUCCAGAGUCGACGUGGCCAAUGACCACAAUGUUGAUGUGAACCUUCUCUUUACCCAUGAUUCCUUAAAAACUGAAGAUCAUCACAAGAACAGAAAACCAAGAAUUAAAUUUUGAUAGUCAUUGAAACCAAAAUAAUUUCUACAAAGACACAAACUUUCAAUUAGACUCUUGUCUAAUGGUUCUCUUUGAAAUAUGUGAAACUUAACUCUAGACCAUGUAAUACGUAAAUUUUGGGGGUGGAAUGAGGGACUACGAAGAUAUUUAUCUUUUGGUGUUUGAUUAACCAAAAACAUUUCCAAGGAAAAGAUGUUCCAGGAAUGUAACUUCCAUAGACAGAAUUCAUUUUCCUUUUCAACAAUCAGCCAUCAAUCUGGACAUCUAUAAAUUUUCAUCAAAACGAUACUAUCAAUCUUUCACAAAUUCUUAGCAAAAAGUUCAGUUACAAAUCAAACACGGAAUAAAAAGGAAAACAUUUUCUAUCAUACCAAACAUACCAGAACCUAUAGAGUUUCUAAUAGUCAUAGAUUCAUUAUUCAAUUGACUUCCAAGUGUACAUAUCAUAAAAAUCCGUUUUAAAAAUUCAUCAAUAGAUCAAAAUCUAAGUGUAGCAAAUCAAAUCGAAUUAACAAAUAAAAAAAAUAAAUCGUAUAGGCUGCAACCAAUUAGUAGAACAGUUGAAAUCUAAUAUACAAAAACAAAAGGACAAUACCACAUAGACGAGAUUAAAAAAGGGAAGAAAAAGUUAUGAUAUCAAUUAAUUAGUAAAUAAAAACAAAUAAAUCUCAUAAUUCAAACUCAAGUAAAAUCAAUUCACAAGGUAAUUAGAUUGUGUUUUUCAACAAAUCACUGACAAAACACCAACUAGAAUACAAUUGAUUUGUAUGAAUAUAUAUAAAUAAUAGGCAGAAAAAUAGAACAGACCUAACCUUAAAAAGACGAGAGAGCUUCGCUAAAACCCUGGCUGCGCAGAAUAAAAGAAGCGAAGCGUUAGGGUUUUAGAAAUGCACCGAGUGAUGUUUUUAAAGCUCAGAAACCGUACCCGGGUUGGGCUUCUUGGGCCCCCACUGAAUUAGAUUUAACUAAGGCCAACUUGUGCUGCCCCUUAAACUUGGCUCCAGUUUUUAUUUUGACACUUUAACUAAGGGCGGUACCUAUUGAACACUCCAACUUAUUUAAAAGUAUAUUUAUUAAACACCUCACUUACUGCCAGUCAAAAAAAUAAAGUGUGUGUUAGUCACACGCGAAUGCGGUGGCAAAGUGACGAAUGAGACAAAGACACGUCGCAUUUGGGUCCAAAUAAUCUUAAGGAAAAAAAAAAUUUUAUUUCCACAUAAAAUCCCCUCCCCCACCUAAGUAGUUCCAUCGUCUCUCCGCCCUCAUCUUCCCAGCUCCUCCUCAUUCACCAUUCAUUGUUAGGCAAUCCUCACCUGUGUACAGAUAAAAACUACUCAAUCACUUUCGACCGUAACUACCAUCAACAUUGUCUUCACCAAAAAUUAUGCUUAAUUUGAUACUUGGACGAGGCAGAAAGAUAAGAGGACUCACUCGAAUAUACUGAUGUUUUCCCCAAAUUUAUGGUUCCCUUUCCCUUUGAGAACGUAAAUAAAUAUCCCAAGCUUUUCUCAAAUUUCUUGGGUUUCCUCUCUUUUUUUUCUUUUUUCUUUUCCUUUAUGGGUUUUAAUUAUUUUAUGAUUUAAGUUUUUUUUGUUAACAAAAAUUCAAAAUCUUAUUUUUUGAUUGAAAUUUAAGAAAAAUUCAAGUUCCAAUGACUUUUAUUGAGGGGAAGAAUGUGAAUUGUUUAAAUAGUUGUGUAUACUUUUGAUUCCUCUGUUUAUGUUUGACGAAAUUGAAGAAUUUGAAAGGGAGGUUUUUGUUUUGUGUUAAUGGUAAUUUUUUCUGUGCAUGAGAUUUUUGGGUGAAGGUGAGGUAAGACGAUUGUCGAGUUUUGGUGAAACUGGUGGUGCAGCUGUAUGUGUUUUGUGUUGUUGAAGAUAGUUCUGAUUUUUGUAAGGAAAGAUAGAGACAUUGAAGCUGGUGGUUAUGGCGUUUUGGGUUCACGCUACCGGUGGUUCACAGUGUUAUGUCGUGGAGUUGGUGAGGUCCUUUCGGAUUAAAAAUGUGUUUUCAAAUAAUUAAAAAAAGAAAAAAAUAUGGUUUGGUAUGAGUUCACUCGCUUUGAGAAAGUGAGAAAUACUUGUUUUUGUCAUGGCAUACUUUGUGUUUAAUAGGCACACUUUCAAAUAAGUUGGAGUGCUCAAUAGGUACUGGCCUUAGUUGAAGUGUCAAAAUGGAAACUGGAGCCAAGUUUAAUGGGUCGCACAGGUAUUUGGCCUUUACGUAAAUAUACUUAUCUUUUCUCUAAUUAUCAGGGCAACAUUUGUUAGAUUUUGAGUUCUGGCCAAAAUGUAUACAAAAAGUAAAUAAAAGGGGUAGGAAAGACACGUUUAUUUUGUGAGAAGCCCUGAAUUUUAGAGAUAACUAAUUUUAUAGGUUAUUUGCUUAGCCUUAAACUACAAAAGAAACUUUCUUAUAAGGAAAGUACAUAUUUAAUGCAUGAUGAAAAUAAAAAUUACCUUCUCAAUUCUUUAGUCAUACUGUAAAGUACCAUAAAAUAAAAUAUUACUAAAAGAAAACAAGCAUACUGAGAAAGAACCUAUGUUUAAGCAACCUAUUUCAAGUAUUAGUAUGGCUUGUUUAUCUCAACACCAGAUAAUAUAUUUUACUCAAUGGGAUAUAUAUGAAAUAUGAAUAAAAUUAAACUACCAGGUUGGUAUUCUCUUGUUUCUCUCCUUAUCCAAGCUGGUAUUUUUUUUAAUUUCGGAACGACCCUUUGCCCAUAUACCUUUCGCUACAUCUGGAAGCGUAGAAAAAACAGUGCAGACAUCAAAAACUUCAGCUUACACACUAAGUUAAAAAGUAUGCUAUGAAAAUCUUACAUAAGAAUGAAAUCAAAUAUAAUAAAGAGUAAGCAACUUGGAUUCAUUUAUGGCAAAUGAAAAGAGUAAAGGAACAAAGAUGAUGAAAAAUAGUAGCUUCUGAAAAAGUUAAAGUCCCAACAUAAUUGGAUCAAGGAAGAUUUCAGUUACCAGUUCGUCCUCAAAUGGUAAAGCUUUAAAUCAGAAUUAAGCAUCAUUUCAAGAAUUCAAACAACCCAUCAUUCUGCUUGGUGAAUGGACUUAAGGAGUAUCAAGUUGCCUACAUCAUAUAGUGUUUGAGUUUGUAAAGCACAUCUAAAUUGUAAUAUGAAACCUUAAGAGUUUGUUUGGAAAGCCAUCUAAAAAUUGAAUUUUAAUGUAACUAGGUGUAAUUUUACAAUUUGACGUGUUUGUCUAGCAUUACUUGGUCGGCGUGGUAAUUACACUGUGCAAUUACGCAAUCACUUUUUUUUUAUUUUAAAAUUUUAAAAUAUAUUUUUCUUUGUACAUUAUUUAUCUUUUAUUUUUCUACCUUUACUUUUUGUGAUUUCAUGUAAUUGCUCGUAUAUUUUAUUUCUUAUUUGUUUUAUUUUUUUAUUUUACGUAACUGCGUUAUUGUUCUAGUUUUUGAAACUACACCCCCUAAUAUUAGAAAUAAUGAGUCAUUAAUAAACUUGCCAUAUAAUGAGUGAUGUCCUUAAAGUACAAUUUCGUUGUUGAAUGAGGUUAUAAACUUAUUAUGUUUCCUAAUUUUAAGUUGUAUUGGAACUUAUUUUUAUUAUUGCGGUUUUUGACAUAUGUUAGACUUUUUUUUGGAUUUUAAAAUUGUGUUAUAUUUUGUUAAUUCACAUUGCAUGUUGUUCAUUUUUUUUAUUAAAAUUCAUAGAUUAGUUUUGUCAAAUAUUUGAAUAAUGUUAUGAUAUUAUAUUUAUAAAUAUUAAUUUAUUUUAUCAAACAUGCAUUCCAUGAUGCUCUUACAAAACAUAUUUAUUUAGGCCACCUCACCAACUCUCUCAAGGAUCUCAAAAGAGCCAAUAUACCUAGGGCUCAACUUGCCCUUCUUCCCGAACCUCAUCACACCCUUCAUGGGUGAAAUCCGCAACAAAACUCUCUCUCCUACCAUAAAUGCUACAUCACGAGGCCUCCGAUUAGCGCAACUCUUCUGUCUAGACUGAGCUGUACGAAGACGAUCCUGAAUCAACUUGACUUUAUCAAAGGCAUCCCAAACCAAAUCAGUGUCCAACAACCUAGCCUCUCCCGGCUCAAACCAACCAAUUGGAGAAUGAUAUUGUCUCCCAUAUAAGGCCUCAUAAGGAGCCAUUUGAAUACUCGAUUGGUAGUUGUUGUUGUAGGCAAACUCUGCAAGAGACAAUAACUGAUCCCAAGAAUCCCAGAAAUCCAUAACACAAGCACGAAGCAUAUCCUCUAAGAUCUGAAUGGUGUGCUCGGAUUGCCCGUCCAUCUGGGGGUGAAAUGAUGUACUCAACUCAACCCGGUGCCUAACUCGUAUUGCACGGCCCUCCAAAAAUGUGUGUGAACUGCAUGCCUCGAUCGAAGAUAAUGGACAUCGGCACACCGUAGAGACGAAUAAUCUCACGAAUAUAGAUCAGAGCCAACUGCUCAGAAGAAUAGAUAGUCACCACUAGAAUAAAAUGAGCCGACUUGGUCAACCUGUCCACAAUCACCCAUGUUGCGCGUCAAAUUUCUUCAAAGUCUGUGGGAGCCCAACAAUGAAAUCCAUGGUAACACGCUCCCACUUCCACUCGAGAAUCUUAACUCUCUGAAACAAACUGCCUGACCUCUACUGCCCGUACUUCACCUGCUGACAGUUCAGGCACCAAGCCACACACGCCACUAUAUCUUUCUUGAUUCUCCUCCACCAAUAAUGUUAUCUCAAAUCCUAAUACAUCUUAGCGGCACCCGGAUGAAUGGAGUACCGCGAACUAUGGGCCUCCUCAAGAAUCAACUCAUGCAACCCAUCCAUAUUGGGCACACAUAACCGGCACUGCAUCCGCAACACCUCGUCAUCUCCAAUAGAAACCACAUUGGCAUCGCCAUGAUGUACCGUGUCCUUAAGGAAGACCGAGAAACCACGCAAGCAAGAACCUGACUAGGCUCCGAAAUAUCUAAUCUAACAAAUUGAUGGGCCAAAGCCUGAACAUCCAUGGCUAGGGGCCUCUCAGUUGCCGGUAAUAUGCCAAACUACCCAAACUCUCUGCCUUUCUACUCAAGGCAUCGGCCACCACAUUGGAAAUCGAAAGUUCAAAAGUUCAUUGAGUUCGAUUUGAGGUGCGAUUCAUCAUUUAAAUAUUAUUAUGCGUAUUUUGAGGCCUCGAGUAGGUCCGUGUUAUUUCAUGGGACUUGUUGGUAUAUUUGGACGGGGUCCCGAGGGGCUCGAAUGAGUUUCGGAUGAGGUUCAUAUCAUUUUUGUCGUAUGUUGCAUUUGGUGAAUGAGGCUGGAUCUGGGCAAAGUCUGGUAUGGUUGCACCUGCAAACUACUGGGCGCAUGUGUGAGAGUCGCGGGUAUAAGGAAUGAGGCAUAGAAGCGGAACUGGAGGGCUGGCACUGUGGUCGCAGCAGCGAGAAGAUUGGCGCACCUGCGACACCACAUGUGCGAUGAAUUGGAGUGCAGACGCGACGAGCUUCGCAAGAGCGAAAUGGUUUUAUCGCAGGUGAGAGGGGUACUAGGACAAGCUGCUUUCGCAUAAGCGAAGAAUUUUUCCACAUAAGUGAACGUCGCAGAAGCGACCUACUAUCCGCAAAUACGAACAAUGUUGGGCAGAAUGCUUUAAGUUUGAGGGUUUGAUAUUUUUUUACCUAUUUUUGGAUUUUUGGAGCUCGGUUUGGGUGGCUUGGGAGAGAAAAUUCAUCAUGUGGAUUGGGGUAAGCAUUCUUAACUCGUUUGUGAUUAUAUUUCACGAAUUAAUCUUCAUUUUUGGUAAUUGAAUUGUGAAUUUUAAAGAGAAAAUUGGGGUUUUUUUGUCUAAAUUCAUAAAGUGAAUUUUUGAGUUUUGAACAUCGAUUCGGAGUUGGAUUUGAGUGAAACUAGUAUGGUUGGACUCGUAAUUGAAUAGCUUGUCGGAUUUUGUGAGUUUUGUUGGAUUUCGAGGUGCGGGCCUAGGUUUAACUUUUUGGUUGACUUUGGGCUUUUGAUUAAAGAUUUGACCUUUAUAAUUUGAAUUUUUUUCUUAGGCAUUAUUUGAUGUAUUUGAGUUGGUUUUGGCUAGUUUCGAGCCGUUCGGAGGUCGGUUGGCGCGGGAUGGCAUGUUGGAGUAUCGUUUGGCUUGUUCGAUAUUGGAUUUGGCUUGUUCGAAGUAAGUAACACUUCUAAACUUGGUGUUGAGGGUAUGAACCCCUGAAUACAUGUGAUAUGUAUUUGGUGUUGAGGUGACGCACAUGUAGGUGACAGGCGUGUGGGCGUGCACCGUGUGAAUUAUGACUCAAUUGAUUCUGUAGUACUAUGUAGUUACCUAAUCUUGUUUUUAUCCAUGAAAUCUCUACGUGCUAAAGUAAUUGAGCUGUGAUCCAUGUUAGAAAUCAUGUUUAGGUUAUAUGCUUAUUCUGUCGGGACCCACUGAGGUCAUAUCUAGUGUGAUUUAUUUGCUUAAAUUGCAGUUACAUACUCAGUCAUACUCGUUCAUUUGCAUAUCAUAUCUCAGUCUCUGUUGCGAUUUAUUGAUACAUCAUAUCAUCAUUUUGGGCUGAUUUUCAUGACAUUGUGAGCCCGAGAGUCUGGAGAGAUUGGUGACUGAGUUGGGGCAUGAGGGCCGAAUUGUGAGAGGUAUUGAUGGGAUCGGGUUGCACGUCGUAGCAGGAUUUAUUAUUCUUGGGGUUAGAUCUGCCCUGUAUUAUUGAUUCAUGAUGAGAUCGGCUUGCACGUUGCAACAUGUUUUAUUUAUUCAUGCCAUGAUUGGCUUAUUAUAGCGCUUGGGCAGGAUAUGCCCCUCUGGAGUCUGCACACCCACAGUGAGCACAGUUACUAUUGAUUUAUUUAUGCUGGAUCUACCCUGUACAGUGCUGAGUUACUGAGAGUGGUAAGGCUUGGAUCUGCCAUGUUCAGUGCUAAGUGACUGAGUGUGUUGAGCGAUUGAGCGUGAUGAGUGAAAAGUAUGAGAUAGUGAGAUUGAGUACUCUGAGAGUAUGCAUAUGGUUUUAUCACUGAGUUGCAUUGCAUUCAACAUGCGCACUUGACAUACAUGCAUAGAGAUGCAUUUUCCUCAUGAUGUACAGUAUUGCGUCAUUCAUGACUUCACAUACACAUUGACAUGUAGGCAUAGAGAUGUAUUUUCCCCAUGCCAUUUGAAAAUGAAACAUUUACUUAUUGAAAGUUUUGGGAAAAAUCACAAGUUUACAAACUUACUCAUAUUUUGGUGAUUUCGGUAAAAGAUUUUGGUUUUCACUGAUAUACUUGAAAAGCAUGCCUAUUUUUCGGAACUGUGAACGAGCUGAGCAUUAUAUCUCUUAUUUCUUUUAUUACUUUUAUUAUGUUGUUACGAACUAUUGUUGGCUAUUAGUGUUGGACUCUAACCUUUGUUCCAUAUUGUCACUACUUUUAACCUAAGGUUAUGUUUAUUACUUAUUGAGUGCAUGAGGUCAGUUGUACUCAUACUAUACUUCUGCACCUUGCGUGCAGAUGUUGGAUGAUGAUGUUGCUGUGUACGGCGGGAGCUGGAUUUGAAGAUGUACCUGCCUCCCGGUCAUAGCUGCCUCUUGAUCUUUGUAGCUUUAGAAUUUUAAUUUGUUUAUGUAUAUUUCAAACAGAUGAUGUACUUUAUUUCAUACCAGCUUUGUAAAUUCUAAAUCUUAAAAGCUCAUAAUUUGUACUACCAUUCCUUGGGAAAUGUAUAAAGGUUCAGUUAUUUUAUCAUUCAUCUGUCUUUAUAAAUCUCAUUAAAUUGGAUAGUUGUUAAUUGGCUUACCUAGUUUGUAGGGUUAGGUGCCACCACGACUAGUUGAAUUUUGGGUCGUGACAUUGUCCUUCCCAGGAUGAGACAAAAUAGUGAUAUCAUAUUCUUUCAACAACUCUAACCACCUCAACUGUCGCAAAUUAAGAUCUUUCUGCUUGGAUAGAUGUUGGAGACUCCGAUGGUCGGUAUAGACCUCGCAUGGGACAUCGUAUAGAUAAUACCUCCAAUUCUUCAAUGCAUGAACAAUAGCUACCUAUUCCAAGUCAUGGACCAAAUAAUUCUUCUCAUGUACCUUCAAAUGCCAAGACGCAUAGGCAAUCACCCUACCGUCUUGCAUCAACACUGCGCCAAGCCCAACACGCGAUGCGUCACAAUACAUAGUGUAAGACCCCGAACCCGUAGGCAACACCAACACUAGGACUGUAGUCAAUGCAAUCUUGAUCUUUUGAAAGUUCGCCUCAAACUCCUUAGACCAUUUGAAAUGAGCACCUUUCUGGGUCAGUCUAGUCAAAGAUGCUAUAAUGGAUAAGAAACCCUCUACCAAACAAUGAUAAUAUUCGGCCAAACCAAGGAAACUCCGAAUCUCAGUAGCUGAAGACAGUCAAGGCCAACUCUAAACUGCCUCAAUCUUCUUGUGAUCUACUUUGAUUCCCUCACUAGAUACCACAUGACCCAAAAACGCCACCGAAUCAAGCCAUAAUUCACACUUAGAGAAUUUUGCGUACAACUUCUUCUCCCUCAAGAUUUGGGGCACGAUCCUCAGUUGAUGCUCAUGAUCCUCCCGAAUGCGGGAGUACACCAAGAUGUCAUCGAUAAACACAAUGGCAAAUGAGUCAAGAUAUGGCUGGAAUACGAUGUUUAUCAGGUGCAUAAAUAUUGUUGGGGUGUUGGUCAACCCAAAUGACAUCACUAGAAACUCAUAAUGACCAUAUCGAGUCCUGAAGGAAAUCUUCUGCAUAUUCGGAUCCUGAAUCUUCAGCUGAUGAUACCCUGACCUCAAAUCAAUCUUCGAGAACACUCUAGCACCCUAAAGCUGGUCAAAUAAGUCAUCAAUGCUAGGUAAUGGGUACUUAUUCUUCCCUGUAACCUUGUUCAACUGCCUAUAAUCAAUACGCAUCCGCAUCGAGCCAUUCUUCUUCUUUACAAACAGAAUCAGAGCACCCCAAGGUGACACACCAGGCUGGAUGAAACCCUUAUCAAGCAACUUUUGCAGUUGUUCAUUUAACUCAUUCAACUCCACUGGUGCCAUACGAUAUGGUGGAAUAGAAAUGAGUUGAGUGACAGGCACCAGGCCAAUACCAAAAUCGAUAUCUCUAUCGGGGGGCAUGCGUGGAAGAUCCGUUGGGAAUACAUCUGGGGAGUCUCUCACUAUAGGAACUGACUCAACGGUGGGAGUGUCAGUAUUGACAUCCCUCACAAAGGCUAGAUAUGCAUCACACCCUUUCUCAACCAUCCGUUGCGCCUUCAGAAAGGGCACAACUUUACUAGGAAUGUAAUCCAAUGUACCCAUCCACUCUAACCGCGGCAAACCUGGCAUAGCCAAUGUCACAGUCUUGGCGUGACAAUCCAAAAUAGCAUGAUGGGGAGACAACCAGUUCAUGCCCAAGAUCACAUCAAAGCCUACCAUAUUGAGUAAUAUUAGAUCAACUCUGGUCUCAAAACCACCAAUAACAAAUAAACAUGACCGGUAAACACGGUCCACAAUAAUAAAAUCUCCCACAUGUAUGGACACAUAUACAGGAAAACUCACACGAGAUAUAUCCAAAUACGAGGCAAAGUAAGAUGACAUAUAUGAAUAAAUAGAGCCUGGAUCAAAUAAUAUUGAUGCAUCUCUAUGACAAACCGGAACAAUAUCUGUGAUAAUUGCGUCUGAUGCGACCGUCUUCGUCCUACCCAGAAAAGCAUAAAAUCUGGCCUGGCCUCCCCCUCUAUGGAAACCUCUACCCGCUUGCCUCCAUAUCUAGCUAGUUGGGCGGGUGGAGUGGCAAUUGGAGCAGCAACUAUGGCUUGUGAAGUCUGUGGACCCUGUGGAAUACGUGGAGCAUGUGUGGUCUAUGGAGUUGCACCCCUCCUGGGUCGGGGUAGUCCCUCACCAUAUGUCUAGUAUCCCCACAAUCAAAAUAAGCUCUCGGUGGGAAUGGCUGCUGAAACUGACCCUGGCCUGGUCAAGCUAGACUGACCACUAAAGGCACCCCAUGUAGGAGGUGCACUAGAAAUGGCUGAGCAAAAUGGGUAACCUGGGACUUAGAAUAGCAGGAGCACCGCUAGUAACUGAAAGUGUUGCAUGAACUGGGCGGCUCACAUAGCCUCUGCCGUGAUGAGCUGCAACUGGAGCACGUGCACCACUAUAUCCUCACAAGUCUCGAGGCCUUUUGGCCUCCUCGUCCUCUCUCUCAUAGCCCCUCAUAUCCUCCAACAUCCGCGUAAUCUCUACCACCUAUUGAUACAGAGUAUCCAUCUCCAACUCUCGAUCCAUGCUGAAUCUAAUACCAUAGUUAAGCCCUCGAUGAAUUUGUAGACUCGCUCUCUGACUGUAGAAACCAAAGUAGGUAUAUGUCGGGAUAACUCACUGAAUCUGAUAGCAUACUCUGACACUGUCAUAGUCCCCUGGCGCAGCUGUUGAAACUCUGUGCGCCAUUCAUCCUGAAGGGUCUAGGAACAAACUCUCUCAAAAAUAUCUCUAAAAAUUGAGCCCAAGUGAGUUGGGAUACAUCAGCUGGUCUACCCUCCUCUAACCCUUCCACUACUGAUACGCUGCUUCUGAGAGCUGAAAUAUGGUAAAAGCGACUCUGUUCACCUCCACAAUACCCAUGGUGUGGAGAAUACGGUCGCAUUUCUCUAGAAACCCCUAUAGUUCCUCGGUAGUUGCGCUACUAAAAGUAGGAGGAUCAUACUUCUUGAGCCUCUCAAGCCUCAUUUUCUCCUCCUCAGAAGCCGUUGGCCUAAUCUCAGGCUGAACUGGAAUAACUGGUUGUGCUGGCAUGACACCCAAGACCUGAUCAAUAUGGACCCGCUGCUCUGGAGUGUAGGCCGCGGGAGUCUGAGCUCCUCCUCCAACCUGAUAUGUGGCUGGUGCAAGGGGAAUCAAUCCCGCCUGAGCUAGAGUGCACAACAUGCUCAAGAACUAUGCUAUGGUCUCCUGAAGUCCAGGGGCAACAACAGGCGUCUCGGGUUCCUGUCCCCCAACCGGAGCUAGUGGUGGCUCCUCAGUUGCUGCUCGGGCAGGUGCUCUGGCUGCACCAUGUGCCCCUCUUUGGCCUCUACCCCGUCUACGUUCUCGCGCGGCUCUAGCAAGGGAGCGUGUGUCUGAUCAUCAGAUCCAGCAGUGCGUGUCCUCACUACAUAUGAGAGAAUAAAAAGACAAAGACUCAGAUUUUGAAAUCAACAAAUUCGCACGAUAAGGAAUCAAAGAAGUGGAAUUUCGUAGUAGUUUUGUAGCGUCUCGAAAAUAAGUACAGACGUCUCCGUACCGAUCCACAAGACUCUAAUAAGCUUUCUUAUGACUCGUAACACCUAUAAACCUAGAGCUCUGAUACCAACUUGUCAGGACCUCAAUCUCCCACCUUAGGAUAUCGUGAUGACACUUAGUCUUUAAGACUAGGUAAGCCUAACAUACAUUGAAAAAUAACAGAAAUAAUAAUAAAACCUCAAUUUAACCAUUAAACUAUCAUAAUAAAACUCAACAGUACAACUGUGAACAACUCCCCAAAACAUGGUGGAACCGAGUCAUAAGCUCUACAAGAAUGUACUAAUAGUCUCGGACUACAAUACUGUUUUAGGACAAGAAAUAAACAAUAGAAUAUCUAAAAGCAUAAGGUGACUUCGGGGCCUGCGAAUGUCGGGUAGGUAUAUCUUGAAGUCUCCAAAAGUAACUAAUCAAUCACUGGCUUCCAGCACAGGCAGAUGUACCUGGAUCUGCAUAAAAUAUGCAGAAGCAGAGUAUGAGUAUACCACAACAGUACCUAGUAAAUAUCAAGCCUAACCUCGGUAGAGUAAUGACAAGGCCAGGUCAAGACACCUACUAGGAGAAAAGAAACUAAACAGAGUAUAGCGUAGUCUAAAUAUGGGAAAACAAGGAAGUAAAUGGCAAGUAAACAAUUCAAUAAUAUAAGCUAACAACGGAGAUUUAAGAAGUAAAGGCAACUAGGAGUAAACAUAUGAUGAAACAAAAAGAAGGCAAUACGAAUUUAAUGAAAGUCAUGUUGACAAAUACCAACAAUUAUAAUUCAAUUACCAACAUCAAACACCACUCGCAACCUGUCUACGGAGCCUCUAAGUACAACUGAAGAGUAAUAUGAAAAUACCAGCAAUAAGGCCCCGACUAUACCUCAAAACACAGUACAAAGAUACAUGACCCCGAAAUGAAGGGGGUUCACCAAGUCAGCUGAAGAGAGUGUACCGCUAUCACAGAUCAUUACUUCUGCUAUGAAACCACCUGCAUCCAUUAAAGAUGCAGUGCCCCCGGCAAAAGGGAUGUUAUUACUAUCGAAUAGUACUAGUAUGUAAAGCUAAAAGUCCUCUUUCAAAAUAGAAUGACCAUAUAAGAAAAGGAAAUCCAUAGAAACAACAAGUCACAAUCAACUAUAUCCAAAUGCCCAAUUGAAACAUAACAAUUUUCAAAAUACGAAAAUAAUAUAUAUUUUUGGUUAGGAGAUCAUUAGCACCGAUAUACCACCAUCUUUGUUAGCACGGAGUCCGAUCACGCCCGAUCGACUAGGCUAUCUCCCCACGAACAAUGUGGUUUGACAUGUGAUGCGAAAGAAAGUUGUUAUCAAGAGUAGUACCACCAUGUACGCAACAUAGCGUCCGAUCUCCACCCGAUCAGCUAGGCCGCCUUCCCACAUAUGCUGUGUGGGUUGACUUUUCCAAUUCAUAGCUAUUACCAGUUUCAUCCCACUUAAGGAAAAUAAUCACAAUUUCAUCAAUAUUUCAAUUUCAUUCCAAAUAAGGGGAAUAAUCACAAUCCACCCCUACACCGGCACGUGUAGUUUCAGGUGUGGGACUUAUGACCCACCCUUCCUCGGUUUUGCUAAUGAUACUCCCAAAAAUAUUUUUAUUAAUUGAUUUGCACACAAAGGUAAUAUAAAUACAUAUGUACUCACCUCAACCUCUUUCACAUUGUAUAAAUGCUCACUAGUAUUUCUAGUCACUCACAACAAUAAUAUUUCUUUGGCUCAUUUGGCCAUUCACAAGAUUCUUUAUUCUUGGCAUGGUGGCCAUAUUUCAUGUUCCGUACUUUCACAUCUUUCAAUUUCAAAGUUCACCAUCAAAUAUCAACAUAUAGAAUAUUUCAACAAUCAUAUACCUCAAAUUUAUUAGUAAUGGAAACUUUAAACACAAAAAGGUUUCUUCCCAAAGAAUGGGGCAUACCGACCAGCAAUAGAAACACACAUCAAAAUCAUAAACAAUCAAUACACCAUUUAUUCUUGCAAUACUCUUUCCCAAAAUGACAAUAUACAAUUUCAACUCCCGAGUAUGUGAGAACUCGAGCCACACUAGAUAUAUUUGUAAAGCAAAGCAUUAGUUAAAACAACCACUUAUGGGCAUUAAUUGAGUACAAAAGCUUUUAGGCAAUUCUAUUUUCGAAAUCAUUUUUAAACAGUUGAGUCAAGGCUCAUUUCAUUGGUACCACUAGCCACAAUUAUAACUUAAAUUCUUGGUACAUUGGCCACACUCUAUAUCCCUAAUUCACUUAUUUCAUCUUGGGCAAAUAUAUAGACGACCCCUUAAACUUGGCUCCAGUUUCCAUUUUGACAGCUUAAUUUAGUGUUUUUUCUAUUGAACACUUUAAUUCUAUUUUGGUGUAUACCAUUUAAACACAACGCAUGUACGGCCAAAGGAGCGUUAUGUCCAUACAUGAUAAACGCGUGAAUAUUAUUAAUAUUUGCUUAUAUGGAUAUUCCAACGGUAAAAAUAAAACCCACCCGUUAGCCCCACUUUAAAACACCCGAUUUUCCCAUUUUUUCUUUCAAGAAUGCCCUAAUUCCUCUUUCAUCUUCUUCCCUUGAAAAUUCGCCAUUUUCCCCUUCUAUUGAAGCUUAGGUGCCCAAGCUUGAAUCUUGAUCUGAUUUCUUCCUCAUCUUUCUCAUUUAUCAGUUCCAUGUCUCAAAAAUCAAUAACUUCUCGCAAUGGAAUGGAAAUUUGCCACUGUAGAUUUAAUGUGCCACUGACUAUAUCAUGGUCAUCUGCAAACCCAGGUCAUCGAUUUUAUGGUUGUAAAUUGGUAAGUCGAUCGUAUUAUUUUUGUUAGACCCUUGAAUUUCUUAAUAAAGAAAUCUGUUUUAAAUUUUUUUGGCCGCAUUUCUUUUUGAAUUUUGUAGGGUCGAGGUGGCUACAAAUAUUUUAGAUGGCAUGAUGAUGAAAUGCCUGAUCAAGCUAAGAGGGUUAUACAAGGUCUGUUGAAGAGAGUCGAAAGAACUGAGAAAAUAGUUGCGCGGUUGAAGUGGUUAUUUAUUGUGGUGGUGGUGCUAUUUCUAUGGAUUUGGCUUUGGUGAUGCUGGUGGUUUGAAGAACAAUGUAGUAUUUUUAUGAUAUGCUGGUGCUAAUAGUAUUGUAGUUGCUGCUAUUAGUUCAAGAAAAAUGUAGUAUGUUGGAAGUAGGUACUAGGAAUUUGGCCUUUUGUUAAUGUACACUAUCUUGUUAUGAAUGAAAUGGAAAUGACCAAUUUUUAAUGCAAAUUUAAGUUCAGUUGCACUUCCAUAAUGUGUUAUGAAUGAAAUGCAAAUUCAUAUUCAUGAAUUGAAAACAUAACUGCCUAAACAUUCCAUUGCAUAAUGUGAUGGACUAGCAUUAUAUCCAAGCUAAAAAAUAGAGCAUUGUUUUGGUCUACAAAUUACAAAAAACAAAGCAUUGUUUUCCCAAACAUAUAACUGCCCAAACUAGUAAACUCUAAUAGAGCAUAAUUGCCCAAACAAAAAACUGGUAGUGACAUCUUAGAUAACAUAAAUAAAAACUGGUCCGCUUCAUAGUGUAGAUGCAGCUGAACUUGUUUGACUUGAAGAACCUUUUUUCCUUGUUGCACUCAUUUGCCGAAGUUGUGACCUUGUCACUGCAUUUCUUCCUUUAAACUUCAAUCCGGGGGGCUUAAAUCCAAUGUCUAUGUUAGUUGCAGAUGUAUCCUUGAAUGCCCCAGCUGAUAUGACUCUCUCAGAUGAUAUACCAGGCUGUAAAAUACGAUGAAUUAGGAAAAAACAGAACAAUUCCAGCCCACAAAACUGCAUUAUAAUAAACUAUACACCCUUACAUUUAGGAUAAUAGUUCCAGUCAUAGUGUUAGUGAAAAUCUCAAAACCAGUAUGCCUUGGCCUUUUAUGUACAAUAGUUGUUGCAUUAGCCGAGCCUCCUCCUAGUGUAGUUCCUCUUCCUUUUCCCCUACCUAGUCCAUGGCAUCUUCUUCCUCUUCCUCUACCAAGCCCAGUUGAUUGGUUGUUGCUUUGUCUCUUGACAACACUUGUAUCCUCACAUAAAGAGGAUGGAUUGCUUUGUUGAGAUGGUAUUUCUUGAGAUGAUCUUGGUGGAGGUGGUGGCAUAUUUUGACUUUGUUGAGUAGCACUUCUUGGAACAUGCUGACAGAAGUAAAAGAAAAGAAUAUCAGAAUUACAAAAAAGAAUGUAAAAGACAUAAUUACAAAUAUCAGAACUUACCCCUUUCCUGCAUCCAGAUUUGUUGUAUCCUGUUUGUUGGAAGUUUGAACAAGUCAUCUUUACCCCUUUCUUUGAUAGUUUACCAUGCUUUUUUCCUGGUUCAUCCUUGGCUUUUCUCCUACAUCUCUUUGGUCUACCUGGCAUAGGUUUAGGUUCUGGAGGCUCUAUAGAUGGAUUUGUUGAAUCUGACCACAUCUUCAUGUUGGGAAUUGGUUGAAUGAAAUACUGGUAAGCUUUAAGGAAAGUUUCCUUCCUAUACUAGUGGGCAACAUAAUCAUCUGGGUCCAUUUCUCUAUCAUAGAAUGCACAUACUGCAUGUUGACAUGGAAUGCCCCUCAACAUCCAUGAUCUACAAGUACAUGUCAUGGUCCUAAAAUCAACAAUGAAUCUGUAUACACCUUCAUCAACUUCAAACCCAUGUUCUGCAUUUCACAUAACCUUACACCCCCUAGAAAGGGCUUUGUUCUCUUCCAGUAUCAUCCUAACCAUUGGUGCAAUGUCAGUAACCCAAGUCUCAGCAAACUUCCUCAUUUUAAUGGUCUUAUUCAUAAUUUUAUGUCUAAUUUCUUACAACAUAGUUAUAACAGACUUGUGCCUAGGACCUACUAUCCAAGAAUUAAAUGUUUCACACAUGUUAUUCCCAAUGACAUCACACUUUGAAUCUUCUCUAAAGUAUGCCCUACACCAAUACUCUUUAUCAUACUUCAACAAGUCUUCACAUAUCUUAUAACCAAGCUUAUUCAUUGCUUCCAGUUCUUCCUUGAAAUUUACUUCAUAAGAUACUUUGGCACAUCUCCAGAAUUGUUUCCACCUUUCUUCACCUCUCCAGUUCUUGGACCAGUUAGACCAAAUGUGUCUAGCACACAUUCUGUGUUCUGUCAUUGGUAGUAAUUCCCUUAUAGUUGGUACUAGUCCCUACAAAAAAUAGUAAUAACUGUUAGUGGACAGUAUAUAUAAAGCAGGAAAAAGAAAAAUUAAAAGUUGAUUGUAGCUUUACCUUUUGCUUGCAUACAAUUCCCAGUUACACUUGACUCUUUUACAAUUAAAUCUAACCAUAUCCUUUUCAUUAGGCCUAAUUGUUAGUUGCACUUUGUUCUCCACAUCAUAUGAGGCUACUGCUUUUCUAAACUAUACAGCAUUUUCAAAUACCAUACCAAGCUCAAAAUAGCAAGGUAACAGUCAGGGUCAAACCUUACCUUUUUACUUCUCCUUCUAGGAGGUAAGUCAAUACCCAUUUCAGCUAAAACAUCUAACUCAUUUGUGCUAUCAUCACUUCCAAUAUCAGAACUAGUGUAGUAGUCUCCAUCCCCUCCUAAUUUUCCAGCAAACCUAUCCUCCUUAGAUGGUCUUCCAAUAUCCUCAAAGCCUUUAUCUAUUCCAGCUUCUCCCAGAAUAAUCUCUUCAGUUGGAGUAGGUUUCUUUCUUUGUUUCUUCUGCUUUUUCUUCUUUCUUCUUUCAUGCCUUAAUGAAGUGAGCUCUUCAUUAACAUCACUAUCAUCUUCAUCAGGAAUGUUAUCUAAUUCAGACUCACUACUUGAUAGAUUUGAUGCCAAACUAGCAUCUAUGUUUGUUGUUUCUUCAGCCCCUUGUAAAUUCUCACUUGCAACCCCAACAUCAACUAGAUUUUCCUGAGGCACAGAUGUGUUAUCUGCAACACUUUCUUGGAAAUUUAUAUCCUCUGAAACAAUAGAUGUUUCCCUAGCCUCUUUAUUUAAUGUAUUUUCACUUGGUUCAACAACUUCUGGCCCACAUAAAAGGCCACAUGGGAAAGUCUCAUCAAGCAACACAGGCUCAUUAACUACAUGCUUAAUAUACAAAUCUAAAUGAUCAAGAUGAUUAAGGUGACAAACUAUAUUAUACAGUUGUUCAUCAUUUUCAAUCAAGACAAAGUCAUUAGAUUUAGGAUUAAUUAAAUAAAAACCCUCUACCUCAGCAUAACCCAUAUCCUUUAUGUAGGACAGAAGCUCAAAAAGAGAAAAGUGGUCCUUGUCUAUCAUGCGACCAUCCUCACCCCUCUCUCCUACAUAUCUCGGGACAUGAUCCCUUGACAAUAUGUCCACCAUGGUGAAAUCGACAAGAAUAUAUUCGUCUGCAGACAUGUCUAGACCCUCGAAACUUCAGUCACGACCAGCCAGUUACGACCAACUUCACUCACCACCACAGUCAAAAGAAGCAAAUGAUUACCCGUAUUAGUAAUAUAAUGGCCAAAUAGCUGACAGAUAGUUGAAUCUAACUCAAAAUUGAUGAAUAUUCCACCGGGAAUCCAUCUCAAUGUACUUUAUUAGGGUUUAUUAGGCUAAAGAAAAGGGAUUUUGGGUGGAAGAUCGAUUAAGUGAGGCGAGGUAUGUGGGUAAGGUAAAAACGGGGUUUUUUAUCUGACCUGGAUAAAUAAACACGUGUCAGACUAUUAUUGGUAUAUUAUUCCAUGUGGAAAGCAUUUAAAAACACGCGCUUAAGUUUUUACAGCCCGGUCAUGCAUUGUGUUUAAAUGGUAUAGUACAAAGUACAGUUAAAGUGUUCAAUAGGAAAAUAGCUAAGUUAAGGUGUCAAAAUGGAAACUGGAGCCAAGUUUAAAGGGCCGUACACCUAUUUGGCCUUUCAUCUUCAAACAUCUUUAUAGAUUAUCAACCACAAGACAUUUUCAAUCAAGACUUUAGGUACAUAUAUGAACAAUUUAGAGUCUUAAGUACAUUGAGUUUUUCUCACCCAAUUGGUAUACUAGUUUUCAUUUAAAACACGACUCAAAGUCAUAACAUUUUAAUACGCAAACCAUACUUUGAACAUAUAUCUUUCGACAUAAGGCUCAUUCGGAAUAGUCAAAUUUGUAGGAGAUAACCCGGAAUAUAGAAAUUAGAAAUCUUGAGCCAACCAUACUUGAACUUACGGGAACAUUAUGGAAUUCGAUUCUAAGAGAGAAAGUUUAGCCAACAUACCUUGUUCGAGCUUUUCUUAAGUUACUACAAUGCCCCAACACUUCUAGCAAUAACAAUCUAUAAGAAGAUAGUGAAAAUCGGUUAAUAAUUAGAAGGAUUUCUAUUAUGUAACUCUCUUAGGAAUUUUGUCAAACACCUAACAUGCGAAGUAGAUCACAAGGCUCUACAAUGUAGAUCCUUUCAUUCCUCAUCCAAUUUCAACAAGAAACUAUCCAAAAUAGUUCAUUAACCCCACAUACUACAACUUUGUGUCACAUGCAUGGCCUAUUUCCAACCCCACAAUAUAUUUGAACUCAUAACCUCUUGUAUGAAAGCUUAGAAGUAGGACUUACUAGGAUGAAUGAUAAUCUAGUGAUUGACUUCCUUGAUUCUUGAAGAUUGGUGCAAGAUUGGAUGAUUGGGAGGUUAGGUUUUCUCAUUCUCUCUCUAAAAUGAUCUCACAUCUCUCUAGACUCACCAGAAAAUCGUCCCAAAUAGCCCCAAGGGCUAUUUAUUAAAAUGGGGCCGGGUUAUAAAAAAACCCAGAAAUUGCACAGCCGCGCCGCAUGGGGCGGCGCGGGACACGGCGCGGCAGUGACAAAUGUGCCCAGAAAUGAUUUUGGAAAGUGUUCUGGAAAUCCCCACAGGCGCGCCGCAUGGGGCCCCGUGGUAGUGUCACAUUCUGCCAGCGUUUGGUAAUUUGGUCAUAACUUCUUGUAUGAGUGUCCAAAUGACGAACGGUUUGAAGUGUUAGAAACUAGGCUCGAAGAUAUUUCAUUUGAUAGGUUGUUCAUCACAUAACUCCUUAUAUAUGUACAUAUGAUCAUCCAAAUGUUGGUCUUGUGCGUACUCAUUUGGAACUUUAGUCUAUUAUGUAAUUUUCCAACUUGACUUAGACUUAGGCCUCUCUUUAUACCCCACAUCCCUUAUAAUAUGCCUCGUACACUUAUUAUCAUAUCCAAUUGAUAUCCAUUAUAUUAAUAGUCCUCGUCUGCACACAAAAUAAUAUAAUUAGCACACGUCAACUUUCUUAAUAGCGCUUAAGUAAUUCAAAACUUUUUGGGGUGCUACAGUUGGCUUUCACGAACGCAGCUGGAGGACCGCAAACGCGAAGGGCAUGGGCUGUUGGGCAUUGCGAACGCAAGACUUAGGUCAUGAAUGCGUAGAGGUAGGAGCUGGGCUGAGCUAGCUUGGCCUUCGCGAUCCCGAGGCCUUUUCCGCGAUCACGAAGAAGGACGGGCCUAGGCAAACUUGAAUUUAAUGCAGGACUUAGCUCUCUUUCUCUUAUUUCCACUUGAGUUGGCCGAAUUUAGGGAGAUAUUUUGAGGGUAUUUUCAUCAAGUAACACAAGGUAAGUGAAUUCUAUCUACUUUUGAGUUAAAUACAUGGAUUAUGAAUAGAUUUAACAUGGAAAUAAGUGGAAAUUGUGGGAUUGUUUUGGAAACCUAAGGUUUGGUAAAAAUAGGAUUUGACCGCAAAAUUGAUAACGGAAUUGAGAAUAAAUUACAUAUUUGAGUUUGUAACAUCAUGGGUAAUAUUUAUCUUCCAAAGUUUUUGUAAUCCGGGCAUGUGGGCCCACGAGUAGCUUUUAUGGACAUUCUAAAUUUGGUUGGAAAAUCACUUUAAUAGUUAAAUUAUGAGCUUUUGAGUAUAUAUUGAUUAGUUUAUACGGCUUUUGACAAGUUUCGGAUUACUCAGCAUCGUUUAGGGUCAACUAAUGAGGUCUUAGAGCCGAGUAGUGAGCUUGGAAGCGAGGUAAGUGUCUUACCUAACCGUGCAAAAGGGAAUUAUUCCCUUAUGUGUAUUGAUUGUUGUGUGCUACUUAUUGUGGGAGCUACGUACGCACGAGGUGAUGAGAGUCCGUACGUAGCUAUAUUCAUGUUAUGUCCGGGUAAACUUAGAUUCACAUCGCCCUGACAUUGUUGUAAAUUAUUCUAAUAGAAUCGGGUCGUUCGUCUCGGCAGUAUUAUAAAUUACUCUUAUGAGAUCGGGUCGUUCGCCUCGGCAGUAUGGUAACACUACUCUUAUGGGAUCAGGUUGUUCGCCUCGACAUUAUUGUAAAUUACUCUUAUGAUAUCAAGUCGUUCGCCUUGAUAGACUCAUGCUUAAUACUUGAGAAUUGAUUCGGUACUGAUAUCAACUAAGUUCGUGCCUUCAAGGCCGGUUAUGACAUUUUAGUGAAUUCAUAUUGAUCCAUGUUUGGAAAUUUACAAUUAAAGUUUAUAUGUUUCAUUGCUACUUGUUGUACUUCAUACAUGUCUACUUUAUGUAUUUUAUUAUUUGACCACUAGUAAGUGUCAAGUUGAUCCCUCGUCACUACUUCUUCGAGGUUAGACUAGAUACUUACUAGGUACGCGUCGAUUUACGUACUCACGCUACACUUCUGUACUGAUUGUACAGGUACGUACUUCCAGUGAUCACAUGGGCGCAUAGACGCAUUUCCACGGAGACUUAGUGGUAAGCUGCUUGCCUUGCUUUGAUCUGCAGCAUACAAAUACUCCCUCUACCUUAUUUAUUGCUUUUGUGUAUUUUAUUUCAGACAGUAGUUGUAGUAGUUUUGUAUAUUCCCUAGAUUGCUCAUGCACUUGUGACACCGGAUUUUGGGAGCUUCUAGUGGACUUUCACAGUUGUACUUGUUGUUACUAUCAUAUUACUUUAUGUACUAUUCGUACCCAUUAUUUUUGGUAAAGCCAGUGCAUAUGUUUCCACGAGUUUCAUGUUUAGUUCCUAUUUAAUUAAUGAAAAUUCUAAGUUUAAAGGCUAAAUGAGAUAAUUAAAUUGAAGGUUCACCAUUGGCUUACCUAACCACAUCGUUGGGCGCCAUCGCAAUCUAUUAUGGGAUUUGGGUCAUGACAGUUUUAGUAUCAGAGCACUAGGUUCACUUAGGUCUCACGAGUGAUGAGUAGGCCUAGUAGAGUCUUGCGGGUCGGUACGGAGGCGUUCGUACUUAUCUUCGAGAGGCUAUAGGGUAUUUGGACACUCCUCUUUCUUCAUAUCCUAUCGUGCAGGUGAUGUUGUGCUAAGUAUCUUUCUCUUAUUCUCUCACAGAUGGUGAGAACGCGCGCUACGGCAGUACCCGACAGCAGAUGGGUUGCUCCCAUAACUUCUGUUAGAGGAUGAGAACGUCCUACAGUUGCUCCAUAAGUACCACCAGUGGAUCCGGUGGAGGAUCCUAUGAAUGAGGACCAGGAUGAGGUACCUGCAGCUGAGCCGGCCGCAACGGCUUUCAUGACCGCACCGGGCUUUCAAGAGGUCAUGGGCCGUAUGCUGCAGUUCAUGGAUUCUAUGACCCAGACUAAGUUAUUUCCAGCAGAUCCAGCCAUAUCUCAGGCGGGUGGGGGAGCAGUGAUAAGUGGGGAUUUUGACUACCUAUUAGCGUCUUUUAACUUUUGUUUUAGUCUAAACGCAUUGAAUUAUACUCCCGGAAAUAAUAAAAUUAUAUAAAAUUACAGGAAUGCUGGAAGUUGGGCUCCCGAGAUGAAAUCCGACUCAAAGAGGAGUAGUCCAAGCACAAGGAAACAAAGGGCACAGAAGCACACAAUGUGCGGUCCGCAGAAGGAAUUAUGCGGCCGCAGAAGAAAUUACGGACCGCAUAAUUCCACUGAGGUCGCAAAUAAAGAGGGAAAAUUGAGUAGACAUUUGUGCAAAUUGCAGACCGCACAUGAAUUGUGCGGCCGCAAAAGCUGGGCUAGGAUUAAAGAUCAGAGAGUACGUAUAUUUCUAAGUCCCGAAUCUCUUUGAAUUGCGGACCGCACAAGAAUUAUGCGGCCGCAGAAUAAGUGCCUUGCGACCGCAGAAUAAGUGCCUUACGACCGCAAACCUAAUUUUGCGGACCACAUAAGAUUGGCUUGCGACCGCAUACCUAAUUGUGCGUACCGCAAAAGAUUGUCUCGCGGCCACAGUUCAGAAAUAUGCGGCUGUAAAACUUCACUUCCUAUCAAGACGAAGAAAUAUGCGGACCGCACGUGGAAUUGUGCGGUCGCAGAACCUUUCGAGGGGCAUUUUUGUCCGAAAUUUUCAGAGUUGUAUAAAUAGAAGAGUUUCACGAAAUUAGGUCAAGUUUGAACAUCAACAAUUACUGUAGCCGUUUUUCUUUGCCAUUUUUGGAAGUUUACUUAGCUUUGGUGUAUUUUACAAUAGAUUAAAUUAUUUUAAGCUAUCAUUAUGAGUUUAAUUAGUCAUUCUUCUUCAUUUUCUUCAAAUCAAAGUAUGAGUAGCUAGAUAUUUACUAGAGUUGUGACCCAACCCUAGUGUGUCAACUUUAUGGGUAUUUAAUUUAGUGUUUGUUUAUGAUUGAGUGUUUAUUAUUUAGCUUAGUUCAUGCUUUAAUAUGAGGAAUUAAUGGUUUUAAAUAUUAGUUCAUGCCUAUUUGACUUAGUCUCUUCUUGAGAAAAAGAGACAUGAUCUUGGAUAACUUGGCUAACAAGGAAUUGGGUCAAUUGAGAGAUUGAUUUACCUAGUCUAUGAUAACUUGGCUAACAAGAAAUUGGGUCAAUUGGGUCAAUUGAGUAGCUAGACUUGAGCUUUUAUCAACUGUUUUGUGUGAUACCCAUUUGGUCUUGAGAAAGCCAAAUUGGGCAAAACCACCCUCUGACCGAUAGGUAUUAAGUAGGUAAUUUAGAGUUGAUAGCUAUAAUACACCCCACUCAACAGAACAAGCAUUAAAGUCUUUUUCCUAUUAGGCAAAUACCUAGGUAAUGGCCACAUCCCUAGGUUUUUUUAUCAAUUUAGAAAACCCCCCAAAAUAGUUAUCUCUAGUUUUCUUUAGAUAUUUUGCAAUCAAUAGAGUAAAAAUUAGAAAUAGAAAACCAAUCUUUUUGUGGAAGUGCAAUCUGGAUAAUUCAAUCACGCACAUUGAAAUAUAUACCCCCUAACUCCCAUCUUAGCUCCCUAUGGAUUCGACCCCGACUCUUAGUUAGUUGAGUUUCUAUAAUUGCAAAUGACUGUUUCAUACUUCUUUUGAGGUGUGCAAUUGGACGAGAUCAAUUUUUGGCAUCGUUACCAGGGAGUUAAAAACGGUGUUAGCUAUAUAUUUGGGUGUGUUUUUAUAAUAUCUUCUUUUCCUUUCGUGUUACUAACUUGUUUAAGAAAUCGCAGGUACAACCAUGGGAAACAAUGAGCUCAAAAAUAUUGCUUUGGUAAUGUGGACAUUGAGGAUGACCAAGUGGAUGAGGUUCCUCUUGAACCUCAAGCCAAUAGAAUAGGCCGAGUGCCUCAUGACAAUGUGCUCGUUCCACCCCCACCUCCACCACUAGCGUCUCCACACCGGAUGUUAUCCAAUGAAGGAUAUGCAAGUGCAAUAGUCUCUCCCCGUAUUAGGGCGGACAACUUUCAAAUCACCAACGUGAUGAUCACUUUGCUAGAGCAACGAGGUUUCUUCACCGGUGCUCCAAUUCAAAAUACAUACAAACAUUUGAAGUGGUUUGUGGAAACUUGUUGGGGGAGCAAACAAACAAAUGUCUCUGAUGAUGCAUUUAGGCUAAGGCUUUUUCCCUUCUCUCUAUGGGGGAAAGCUUUAGAUUGGUUUGAACGUUUGCCGAACCAUUCCAUUCACACUUAGGAUAAGUCGGCGGAAAAGUUUAUUUCUAAGUUCUUCUCUCCGGGGUACAUGGCUACACUUCGGGAUGAGAUUUUUACAUUUAAGCAAGAGCCAAAUGAACCACUACACGAGAUAUGGAAAUGCUAUCAUACAAUGGUUAAGGAAUGUCCUAACAACGAGAUGACGGAGAACAUGAUUCAACAAACUUUAUAUCGUGAGAUCAACACAACUAACCAAUGUAUAGUGAAUCAACUUGCCGGUGGGAAUUUCAUAACUACGCCUUAUGCGGAGGCGUGUGAGAUUUUAGAUGAAAUGGCGGAAACAUCAUCGGCAUGGCAAUCUCGGGCUAAUGUUCCAUAAGGUGAUCCCAAUACGAUCCACCUUCACAAAGAGUUGCAUGACCAUGGGCAAGUCGUUGCCGAAUUAACCACCACCAUGAAUUAACUAGCAAAGGCUCAACUUCAACAAGUGAAACAUCCUAAGCAAGUCAAUGCCAUAGAGGGAGUGAACAUGAUGAUGAACAAAAGAAGAACAAAGGGUCCACAAGUGAAACAUCGGGUGGUUAAUUUUGUGCAAGAGGAUAGUAGUUUUGAUCAAGAUGACUCUUACAAUGACCAAGAAGAGGAGGUACAAUAUGUGGACAACUUUCAAGGGCAACGAAAUAAUUUCCAAGGCCCAAACCAACAACAAUGGCGACCUCAAAACAAUCAAGGAAAUUAGAAUUCUAACAACCAAGGAAAUUGGAAUGGUGGAAAUAAUCAAGGGAAUUGGAAUAACAAUAAUCAAGAAAAUUGGGGGGGGGGGGUAACAAUCAAGGCGGAUGGAACAAUAAUCAAGGCAAUCGGGGGUCGGAUUUUCAAAGGCCCCCGAUGCAUCAACAACCGAACAACUCACCUCCUUAUCCUUCCCAUGGUCCUAGUUAUUCAACCAAUGAGAUGGGGCGUAUUGAGAACAUGUUCAAGCAAAUGAUGGAAAAGAAUGCCGAUUCGGAUGCCCAACUUGCCUCACACAACACAUCGAUCCGCAACUUAGAAGUUCAAAUGUGGUAAAUCUUUCAAGCUCUAAAUUCUCGUCCUAAGGGGGCACUACCAAGUGAAACGGUGGUGAACCCAAAGGGUGGGAACAACACGCGGACUUCCAUGGUCAUUACUACAAGAAGUGGAAAAGGUGAGAAUGCACCCACCUCAAGUCAAAGGCAACUUGUGGAUGAUGAGCAAGUGGUACAAGGAGAAGAGGUCCCGAACAAUGUAGUGCAAACAAAUGAUGAAGUUCGGAUUAAUAUUGAUGAUAGUGUGGAAGAGACUCAAUAGGAGAUGGACCCGUCUAGGGAUCACGCUAUUGACAUACCGGAAUCGAUAGUGCAAAAGGCUAAGGCAUCAUUGCCUAAGCCUCUACCUCCAUAUCCUCAAAGACUUGCCAAACAAAAUGGUGAGAAUCAAUUCAAAAAGCUCAUUCAAAUGAUGAAUAAUCUCUCAAUUAAUGUGCCAUUAGUUGAAGCUUUGGAACAAAUGCCCGGUUAUGCAAAGUUUAUGAAGGAUCUUGUGAAAAAGAAGCCGUCAGUAAAUUUUGAAACUAUCAAGGUCACUCAUCAAGUGAGUGCAAUUGUGCACUCAAUGGCUCUUAAAUUGGAAGAUCCUGGCGCUUUCACAAUUCCUUGUAUAAUUGGAAGUGUCGAGUUUGCUAAAGCUCUUUGUGAUCUUGGGGAAAGUAUCAAUUUGAUGCUAUAUUUGAUUUUCAAGACCCUGGGAAUUGGGCAACCAAGACCCACCUCUAUGAUAUUGCAUAUGGCCGAUCAUACCAUGAAGUGACCUUUGGGAGUGAUUGAAGAUGUCUUGGUUUAUGUUGAUAAAUUCAUUCUUCUGGCGGAUUUUGUCAUUCUAGAUUGUGAAGUUGAUUAUAAGGUGUAGAUUAUUCUUGGAAUACCUUUCCUUGCUACGGGGAAGGCUCUUUGUUAUGUUGAAGCCGGUGAACUCACCUUCCGAGUGAGUGAUGAAAAAGUGAUUUUCCAUGUGUGUAAAUCCAUGCGGCAACCAAAUAGCAAUGAGGUGUAUUCUUUUAUUGACUCGGUGUCCAAUGUUAUUGUUGAUGAUACAAGUGCCACNNNNNNNNNNNNNNNNNNNNNNNNNUUCAACUUGCUGAAAUGACCCUUAACUUUUGGAGGUGGAAAUUAAUUUACUUUCUUGAGGACAAGCAAAGACUUAAGUUUGGGGGAGUUGAUAAGUGGAAAUUUUGACUACUUAUUAGCGCCUUUUAACUUUUGUUUUGGUCUAAAAUCAUUGAAUUAUGCUCUCGGGACUAAUAAAAUUGUACAAAAUCGCAGAAAUGCUGGAAGUUGGGCUCCCGAGAUGAAAUUUGACUCAAACAGGAGUAGUCCAAGCACAAGGAAACAAAGGGCACAGAAGCAUACAAUGUGCAGUCCACAAAAGGAAUUCUGCGGCCGCAGAAGAAAUUGUGGACCACAAAAUUCCACCCGCAACCGCAAACAAAGAAGGAAAACUUAGCAGAUAUUUGUGCAAAUUGUGGACCGCACAUGAAUUGUGCGGUCGCAAAAGCUGGGCUAGGAUUCAAGAUCAGAGAGUAUGCAAAUUUCCAAGUCCUGAGUCUCUGUGAAUUGCGGACCGCACAAGAAUUGUGCGGCCGCAGACCUACUUAUAUGGACCGCAGAAGAUUGGUUUGCGACCGCAGACCUAAUUGUGCGGACCACAGAAGAUUGCCUCGUGGCCGCAGUUUAAAAAUGUGCGGCUGCAGAACUCCACUUCCUGUCAAGAUGAAGAAAUCUGCGGAUUGCACGUGGAAUUGUGCGGUCGCAGAACCUCCAAGGGGGGCAUUUUUAUCCGAAAUUUUUAGACUUGUAUAAAUUGAAGAGUUUCACGAAAUUAGGUCAAGUUUGAACAUCAACAAUUACUGUAGUCGUUUUUCUUUACCAUUUUCGGAAGUUUACUUAGCUUUGGUGUAUUUUACAAUAGAUUAAAUAAUUUUAAGCUAUCAUUAUGAGUUUAAUUAGUCAUUCUUCUUCAUUUUCUUCAAAUCAAAGUAUGAGUAGCUAGAUAUUUACUAGGGUUAUGACCCAACCCUAGUGUGUCAACCUUAUGGAUAUUUAAUUUAGUACUUGUUUAUGAUUGGGUGUUUAUUAUUUAGCUUAGUUCACGCUUUAAUUUGAGGAAUUGAUGGUUGCAAACAUUAGUUCAUGCCUAUUUGACUUAGUCUUCUCUUGAGAAAGAGAGACAUAAUCUAGGAUAAUUUGGCUAACAAGGAAUUAGGUCAAUUGAGAGAUUGAUUUACCCAAUUAAAAGGUUCAACCUAGAGAUAGUAAUAACCCGACUUGAGCUUUUAUCAAAUGUUUUGUGUGAUACCCAUUUGGUCUUGAGAAAGCCAAAUUGGGCAAAAUCACUCUUUGACCGAGAGGUAUUGAGUGGGUAAUUUAGAGUUGAUAGCUAUAAUACACCCCAGUCAACAGAACAAACAUUAAAGUCUUUUUCCCAUUAGGCAAACACCUAGGUAAUGAUCACAACCCUAGACUUUUUAUCAAUUUGGAAAAAAACCAAAAAAUAGUUAUCUCUAGUUUUCUUUCGAUAUUUUGUAAUCAAUAGAGUAAAAAUUAGAAAUAGAAAACCAAUCUUUUUGUGGAAGUGCAACCUCGAUAAUUUAAUCACGCACAUUGAAAUAUAUACCCCCUAACUCCCAUCUUAGCUCUUUGUUGAUUUGACCUCGACUCUUAGUUGGGUUUCUAUAAUUGCUAACGAUCGUUUCAUACUUCUUUUGAGGUAUGCAAUUGGACGCGAUCAAGCAGAGACCCCUACCACUCUUGCUCUAGGGCAUGCUGUUGCCGUUUAUCAGACCUCAGGUGCACUAUCUACAGGUGGGGCUCAACUGGUUGCUGCAGUUAGACCAGAGACCGGAUCGAUUGCAACCGUUGAGGAGCAGAAGCGGUUGGACAGGUGGACUAGGAUUCAUCCUCCAGUCUUUGGUGGUGAAUGGUCACAAGACCCACAAAAUUUCAUUGACUGUUGCAAGGAGAGGCUGCGUAAUAUGGGAGUAUUGAAGUCCAACGAGGUGGACUUUACCACCUUUCAUCUAGAGAGCAAGACCCACAAAUGGUGGCAGACAUACCUCCUAAGAAGGACAACAUGUUCAUCUUCCUUGACUUGGGACCAGUUCACACAUCUUUUCUUGGAGAAAUAUAUUCUACCUUCAGAGAGAGAAGAGCUUUAGGGUCAGUUCGAGUGGCUCCGACAGGGUCAUAUGUCUGUGGCUGACUAUGAGGCGAUAUUCACUGACAUGUCUCGUCAUGUGGCUAGUAUAAUCCCCACGGAUGCAGAGAGGGUGCAGAGGUUUAUUUUAGGUCUGCACCCUAAGAUUUAGGUUUCUAUGGCCCGCGAGGCCGAGAUGGGAACUUUAUUCCUAAAGGUUUUGGAUAUAGCUCGGAGGAUCGAGCGUAUCCGCAACCACAUCAGAGAGUUUGUACCGAGGAUAAGAGUUCUCGGCAUUUUGGCGGAUUUUGUGGCACCCUGUCUGGGGGCGGGGUUCAGUUCAUGAGGGGCCAGUCUAGCAGUUAUGACUGGGACUGGGGCUAUAAUAUAAUAUUGACCAUGUAUAUUUGAUUUCCUUAAUUUAUGACUCAGACUGAGGCUAGAAUAAAAUAUUGACUGAUUCUCUUACGUUGGAAAUUGUGGAAUAUUUGAUUAACAGUAGAUCUUUGUCUUCCCAAUUCGUAUGUAUUUUCGCGAGUGAGAUAAUUUCUUUAUUCUAAUGGGAUUGGGCCGUUCGUCGCGAUAGUGUUGUAAAUAAUUCUAAUAGGAUCAGACUAUUUGCCUCGACAGUGUUAUAAAUUACUCUUAUGGGAUCGAGUCAUUCGCCCCGACAAUAUGGUAACACUACUCUUACCGGAUCAGGUCGUUUGCCUCGGCAAUACUGUGUAUCGCUAUUCCUAUGGGAUUAGGUCGUUCGCCUCGGCAGACUCGUGCCUAAUACUUGAGGUUUGAUUUGGUAUUGAUAUCAGUUGAGUUCGUGCCUAGGCCGGUUAUGACAUUUUGGUGAUUUCAUAUUGAUCCAUGUUUGGACAUUUACUAUUAAAGUUUAUUUGUUUCGUUGCUACUUGUUGUACUUCAUACAUGUCUACUUUAUGUAUUUUAUUAUUUGACCACUGGUAAGUGUCAAGUCGAUCCCUCGUCACUGCUUCUUCGAGGUUAGACUAGAUACUUACUAGGUACGCAUUGAUUUACAUACCCACGCUACACAUAUGUACUGAUUGUGCAUGUACGGAGACAGGUACUUCCAGUGGUCGCGCUCGCAUUUCCACGAAAACUUAGUGGUGAACUGCUUGCCUUGCUUCGAUCUGCAGCAUACGAAUUCUCCCUCUACCUUAUUUAUUGUUUCUGUCUAUUUUAUUUUAGACAGUAGUUGUAGUAAUUUUAUAUAUUCUCUAGAUUACUCAUGCACUUGUGACAUCGGGUUUUGGGGGCUUCUAGUAGACUUUCACAGUUGUACUUGUUGUUACUAUCAUAUUACUUUAUGUACUAUUCGUACCCGUUAUUUUUGGUAAAGUAGUGCAUAUGUUUCCAUGAGUUUCAUGUUAAGUUCCUAUUUAAUUAAUGAAAAUUUUAAGUUUAAAAGCUAAAUGGGAUAAUUAAAUUGGAAUCACAUCAUUGGGCGCCAUUAUGACCUAUUAUGGGAUUUGGGUCGUGACAAAACAACACGAUGUCAUAGUCUAUAAUGAAAUUAGAGAAGGAUUCUUGUUCAUAUGGGCAAACAAUUAUAAGAAAACUAAACAAUUUGCCAAUUAAGCCCAAACUACUUAAAGUACCUUAAAGAAAGCUUCCCAAAUCCGAUUUUUUUUUUUUGUGUAUUUGAAGACCCACCAUUAUUGAGCUUGAAGCUCUUGAAUCUGAAAUUUCAUUUUAAAGAUCUAUUGUUUGAUUUAAGGUGGGUAUUAUAAAAUAUUGCUUAUAGUACCUUUGAUAAGUUCAUACUUAAAUUUAGUCGCAUUUGGAGAUAAUUUGAGGUGAUUGAGAGCGAAUAUUUUAGCUGAAAAUCAAAGAAGAAUCAAGUAAUCCAACAAUAUAUGUCUACGAUAUACAAUAUACUAUAAUAGUAUAUAGCUAUACUACAACAAUAUACUAUGAUAGUAUACAAUAUUUUGCAAAGGUAUAUUGUAAUAAUGUGCAAUAUUCUGCAAUAGUAUACUGUAAUGGUAUAUAAAAUACUACAAUCAAUGGCGGAGCUACAGUGCUCCAAGGGUGGUCAGGCGAACACGUUUCGCAAAAAUAUUACACUAUGUAUAUAAGUAAAAUGAUGUUAUAUUUUAAUAUGGAUAAUAGCAUGCAUACCCUUGAUACAACUAGGUGAAGUAGCCUAGUGCAAAAUGUACUAUUGAUCCUAUGUUCGAAUCUCAAUGCAAGCAUGUUUACAGCACAUUUAUUAUAUAAUAUCAUUUUUCAAGAAACAUUAUAUAACUUUCAGAUCCAUCGUUCUUUUUCAAAAGUAGAGUAGAAGUGUGUUUUGUACCCAAAUCUCAACCAACUUUUGACUUUAUUUUUCUUUUCUAAUUUUUUAAUAAACAAAUAUUAAAAGUCAUUAUUUAAUUAAAAUCUAUUUAAUAAAAAAUCCUAAAAUCUCUCUGCAAGACCUAAACCUAACUUUGUCAACAUAGAAAAAGGGGAAACAAUGAGUAGAAACAAAAGAUCCUCAUUUUCUUCUCUCCAUGCUAGCAUGUUGCGUUAACAUUGUCGGAUGUCAGUGAAACCGUAAAAACUUGCACUCUAACCUCUGAAUCUGCUUCAAUUUCAGGUUAUAUCUCUUCUGCCUUUCUCUCUUUUUUUUCUUUAUUUUGGCUCAAUUUGUGAACUGAAUUUUAUUGUUUGAGUCUUUAGAGAUUAAAAUUUUGCUAAAUAUUUCUAAAUCUUUGAAAUGAUUUAUAACUAGAAUAAAAUAAUUGAUACUUAGAUAACCCGACUCAUAAUUCCUAAACAUAUAUUUAUUCUUUAAAUAAGAAAAUAAGAAAAAAUAAAUAGGUGGAUGUGUAUACAAAUUUGGGACAUAGUUUGAAUUUUCAGAUUUUGAUUUUCAAGUUUAGUUUUUUUGACUUGUAUAGUGUUACAGUGAGUACUUAAAGUGCUUUUUAAUAGAUGUUCUUCCUAUUUCUAAUAAGUGUGACGUACUUGACUAUUAUUUCAGUUUAAUUUAAAGUUUUAAUGGACUUGAAAAUUUUGUUUUAGCAAAGUAUCAAAAACAAGUUUGACAUCUCAAAAUCAACCUAAUCGAGAAGAAACUAUAGACAAAUCAUAAAUAUUGUUGCAUUCUGCUAAGAGAUAAAAACUUAAUUUAAAUGCUCUAAAUCGUGCUCCAGCUGAAAGAACUCCAAUUUUGAAUUAUCAUCCAAACCAUCGUGAUGAAAUAAGGACGGAAUACCUUGAAAUUGAUCCUUUUCAACUUUGAAAUCAUGGCUUCCCUCAAUUUGACUUUUCAUGAUCAAAGCGUUGUUUUGUUUCUAAAUGGUUUUAUGAUUAUGGUGACUGGUUGGAGUAUAGUGUGAGUACAGAUGCAACAUAUUAUUUACCUUAUUAUUUAUUUAAAGGUGAUAAUAUUCAUCAAAGUGGAUGUGAUAUAUUUUUAAGUAAAGGAUUUUAGAAAUUGGCAUAAGAUCAAAGACAACUUCUCAAAAUAUAUUGGUGGGCCGAGUAGUGUUCAUAAUCAAGCAAAAAGAAUUAUGAAGAUCUAAUGCAACAAUAAUAGUCCAGUCAUGCUGCAUUUGACAAGCAAUCUGAUAAAAUGAAACAUAAAUAUUGGUUUCCCUUAAAUGCUUCAAUUGAUGUGGUAAGACUUCUCUUGAAUCAAGGAAUGACGCUCCGUGGUCACGAUAAAAGUGAAUCGUCAUUGAACAGGGGUAACUUUCUUGAAGUUCUUUCAUGAUACCGAGAUAGAUGUGAAAAGAUUAAGACUUUUGUGUUGUAAAAUGCUCCAAAAAUAAUAAAAUAACUUCUCCAUACAUUCAAAAAGAAAUUGUGACCGCAUGUAAGAUAGAAAUAAUUAAGGCUAUAAUAGAGAAUCUAAAUGGUGAUUACUUUUCUCUACUAGUUUAUGAAUCUUCUGACGUGUCACGAAAAAAUCAAAUGGCUAUUGUUUUAAGAUAUGUUGAUAGAAAAGGAAAAGCAUUUAUUGAACUUGUUCAUGUUCCUGGUACUAGUGUUUUAUCUCUGAAGAAAGCAAAUUUUUACGUACUUGCUCAUUAUUCAUUAAGUUUAUCUUCUGUACGCGGACAAUGCUAUGACGAGGCAAGAAAUAUGCAAGGUGAUAUCAAUGGUCUUAAAAUAUUGAUUAAACAAUAAAGUGGAUUGGCUCAUUCUAUUUAUUGUUUUUCCCACCAACUUCAAUUAACUUUUGUGGUGGUUUCAAAAAUGUGUGUUCAAGUGGGAGAACUUGUGUUAUUAGUUUCAAAUAUUCUGAAUGUAUUGGAAGCUUCUUUUAAAUGUAUGGAUGAACUUCGAGAAUCUCAACAAGAAAAACUCCAAGCGAUAUUAGAUAUGGGUGAGCUAGAAACAAGCAGAGGCCCGAAUCAAGAGUUUGGUCUUAUUAGAGCCGGUGAUACUCGUUGGGGAUCUUACUAUAAGCCGUUUAAAAAUUGUAUACUUUUGUUUGACUCUAUUAUUGAUGUACUUAAUACUCUUGUUGAAAAUGCAAAUACUUUAGAUGGAAGAGCUAAGUAGCAGGAUAUCUUAGAAGAUUUCAGACGUUUAAGGUUGCUUUCAUAUUGCAUUUUAUGGAAGAUAUUUUAAGAAUCACAUAUGAUCUUAACAUAUCGCUCCAGAAAAAGAAGCAGGAUAUUGCUAAUGCCAUGAUACUUGUUGAAGUAGCAAAAAAAAAAAAGCUUCAAAAGUUAAGAGCUAGUGGAUGGGAUCCACUUAAAGAUAAGGUAUCUACGUUUUGUAUCAAGCAUGAUAUUCUGAUAUCCAAUUUUGAUGAGCCAUAUGCUAAAUCUGGAAUAUCACGACGUAAACUUGUUGAUCAUACAACUUUACAUUUGUUACACCCCACAUUUUCGUAUAUGAAAUCACGCCAUAAAUAAAUUGAUGAGAGCUCGGAAAUAAGAUGUUACAUCCCGUAUUCUUUUUGUACGCCAAUAUUUCGUCGUAAGUUAAUCGACGUAAGCUCGAGAACGAGAUUAUUUUGGGAUUAUAAGUAUUAUGCUAUUUCAAACAAGUGAUGAGAAUAUUCAUGAAGGAGAGAGGGUAAGCAAAUCGAAAAAAAAUGAAAUUCCUCGAAAUUUGACAAUUUGGGAUAAAAUACGAUCCGAGAUAUAAUACCCAGUAUUUAUAGACUAGUGCCAUACAAGAUACCAUAUGAUCAUGAUAGUAUGAUAUAUAAAGUGUAUUAAAAAGGAGUAGUAUUUUAGAUAAUUUGAUAUAAUUCUUAAUUAUGUGGAUAAUUGAUUAAUUAUUGAUUAAUUAUUGAUUAACUAAUUAAUUAAGAAUUAGUGGGUGAUUAAUUAAGGCUUUUAGAUAAAGCCAAUAACGUGGGAAGCUUUAAUUAAGCCCAAGGUGGCUAACUAUUUGGGAGGCUAGGUGGCAGCAUGUGGGAAGCUUUAAUUAAAGCCUAAGGUAACUAACUAUUUGUGAGGCUAGGUGGCACUUAGAGGGAAUCUUGACUAAAGCCAUAAAAGACUCAAUUCACAAAAAUAUGGAGAAGGCAACAUGAGUACUUCAACAAAAACCAUGAAAUACCUCUCUGAUUCAACAAAAAUCGUGAGAUUUGGAUAAAAUUCACAAAAGAGAGAUAUUUAUCUUCAUAGUAACGUAACUAGCUUCAGCAAGAGAUUCAUACGAAACUUCUUAGCAUUACUAAUAGUAAUGGGAUUUUGCGAUUCUAGGGAGUACGGUGCAAUCUUUUUCAAGAAUAUCAUACGGAUUUUUCCUUACUCCAGGUAUAUUAAGGCUAUCCUUUCUUUCCUUUUGGCAUUAUCUAUACGAAACGAGCAAAUACAUAAUUUUCAUAAAUGACUCUAUUCAUAAAAAUAUUAGGGGUGUCUAUAUUCUUGAUUCCCCAUGUGAAUUAUUACUAUAUCUUCAGUUCAUGGGUCUCAGACAAAUACGUAUUUGAUAAAAUUUAUCCGACAGGCAUAUUAUUUUAAUGACAUUCCGAAAAAAUCUUAUUAACGUAUUUCUUAAGGCAUAUUAUUUUUAUGAUAUUCUGAGAAAAUAUUAUUAAUGUAUUAUACAUAUACAUUGACCCAUGACCAGAUGGCGUUAUAUACGCAUAUAUAUGUAUAUUAUAUGUAUAUGGAAUAUGGGAAAAGGUUACAACGUUAUAUACGCAUCACCACCUGAUCAGCUGGUAUACGUUGAUGAUUUGCCCAUAGUGACCGAGAUGAUAUGAUGGGAUGCUCUCAGAAGCUUGAUGAUGUUAUGAACACAUAUACCUAUGCAUGGUAUGACAUUCAUACGCACAUGCAUGACGAUAUAAAAAAAUAAAAUGAUUCACAGAGUUAUGCAGGCGUACAUGUCGAGUCUUUUACUCCAUGUUUUUUUCAUAUCUAUUAUUUACUGAUUAUCAUUCCUUACAUACUCGGUACAUUAUUUGUAUUGACGUCCCUUUUGCCUAGGGACGCUGCGUUUCAUGCCCGCAGGUCUCGAUAGACAGGUCGAGAGUCCUCCAAGUAGGCGAUCAGCUCAGCAGAAGAUAUUGGUGCACUCCAUUUGCUCCGGAGUUGCUUGUUUGGUCAGUAUAAUUUAGAUGUGUAUGGUUUAGUAUGGCGGAACUCUGUCCCGACCUUUAUGACAAUUAUGUACUCUUAGAAGCUUGUAGACAUAUGUCGUGUAAGUGAAAGAUUGUACAACCUUGUCGACCUAUGUUUUAAAUUUAUAAAUGAUCAUGUUGGUCUAUUAGGCCCAUAUGUCACGUGUAUAUGAUGAAGUAAUAAGAAAUAUACGUUACGUUGGUACUCGGUUGAGUAAGGUACCGGGUGUCCAUCGCGGCCCAUCGGUUUGGGUUGUGACAACAUUAUUAUCGUGUGGAUGUGUUUUAUAAGAUUAUUGAUUAGCAGCUUCAAGAACUUAACAACCGUUUCAAUGAGGUAACAAGUAAUUUGUUUCAUAGAUUAGCUUGCCUGAAUCCAGUUGAUUCAUUUUAUAGUUUUGACAUCAGAAAGAUAGUUAGAAUGGUUAAAUCAUAUCCUGAUGACUUUGAUGAAUUUAAAUUGGGUGUCCUUGAGAAUCAACUUGCUAAUAUAUUGCUUAUGUACGUGGUAUUGAUCAAAUGUUCUCCAAUUUAGGUGAACUUGGUGAACUUUCAAAAAAGCUAGUUGAGAAAAAGAAGAAUAUUACUUAUCCUCUUGUAUUUUGCUUAGUGAAACUUGCUUUGCUUCUUUUAGUUGCCACUGCAACCGUUGAAAAAACUUUUUCUGCAAUGAAGUUUAUCAAGAAUGACUUGCGGAAUCGAAUGGAUGAUGAAUUUUUAGACGGUUGAGUAGUGCCUUACGUAGAAAAAAAAUUAUUUCGUACUAUUUCUAUUGAGUCUGUUAUAAAAAUAUUUCAAGAGAUGAGACCUCGUAGAGUACAAUUAUAAUAAUAUAUUUGAAUUGUUCUUUCACUAGUUGAUUCCUUUAUAUUGAUUCUAAUUUAUACAUAGGUUAAUUCUGUUAAUGUGUUUAUGAUUUAGCUAAAUAUUGUAUAAUUUAUUUUAAAAAAUUUUGGUGCACCCAUUUUUCGAAAAAAAAUUUAUUUACUUAUCCAAAGGUAGAAAUGCGCGUAAAAUAGAUCCUUGUGAUUCGAUCCUUUUUCAGACUUUACGUAUAGCUGAAACUUAGUGCACCAGACUGCCUUAUUUUAAGAAAAAAUUACGCUCAAAUACAAUUGACACAAUGAUGCUACCAAAAUUGGCCCGUAUUUUUAAAUGCUACCAAAACUAGCCCACAUUGUAUAUGUAAAAAUUAUUUCACUCUUUAACCCUAGUUGCUAACAAGAAAAAACAAAAGAUAAAAAGACUUUCACUCUUUUACCUCUUCUUCUUCGCUGCCCCCUCACUCUUUCCAUCAUUUCUCCACCACAACUCCUUAUCUUUUCAUUUCCGUCACUCCCUAUUCCUAUCUUCUCUGCCACACCUCACCAGUUGUAUCCCUUGAAUUUGGAUUGUAGUUUUAGAUCUAAAAACGCCAUUUUCGUCAAAGCUCAAAGCUCCAUGAUUAUUCAGGGAUAUCCCUGUGCAUUAAACACGACUGUGUGAAGAAUUUUGGACGGAAAAUUUUCGAGUCUACUGAUGGGUUAUCUAAAAAAUCGACUCGAAUGUUUUGAAUUUUUUAAUUCGAAUAACAUUGUGAAUUCGUGAGGCAAAUUUUUUGGUGUUAAAAUAGAGGUAUGGUGAUGGACAUAAGGUGUUUUCUAGUGUAAAUUUUCUAUAACUGGUAUUUAUAUACACUUAUACAAUAUUGUAUAAUUAUGUAUAAUUGUGUAUUGAUAUGUAUAAGUAUGUAUAUUUGUGUAUUAUGUUAUAUAACUAUAAUUUUUUCAGUGUACAAGGAUGUCUAUAUAUAUUGUUAGUUAAUAAAUGGCCUCCAAUGGAAGUUUGAUACUUUCUUCUCUUCUUCUUCUAGUUUUUCUUAUAUACAUUAGUAUUAUAUAUUCAUAUACAAGUUUAUACAAAGUUAUAUAUCAUUAUACAUAAUAUACGGCACAUGUACAAUUAAAACUAAAAUUAAAAUGUUUGUGUUAUUUCUUACUUUUUCUCGAAAAAUCUUUGUAUAAAAUCGAUUUCUUUGUUGAUUUUUCUGCCAAAUCACAAACUUGCCACAAAUCUUUUCGAGUUUUCCUCAAGAAUUGUAGAUGUUUCUACUGCUUCCAUUUCUACACAAUUUUUUAUUAAGAAAUACAAGUUCAAAUAUAAAAGUCCCCUACGUAUUUUCAGAAAGUAAAUGCCACCAUUGAAGUUGAUUGUUUCAAUUGGAAUCUGUGCGAAGCCCGGGAAUUUAUGAAGAAGGAAUAAUAAUAGUAGUUGGUGGUGUACAAAAAGCUUUUUUCGGACCUUGGCCUAUUAUUUUUUGGCUAUAAAUUUGUAAAUUUGUGAUUGGGCUACCUAAAUGUAUAUGUAAUUCUCUCUUUUUUAAAUCCAAAGGUUAACACCCUCUACAAUAAUAUACUCCGACUGCUAUUUAUUGAAUUAUCUGGUUAAUUGUACAAAACUAAAAUCAUGGUUAUAAUCCGGACGUAGUUGAUGAUAAUUAAAGAAAAAUAAAAUUUGUCCACCAUUGAAGAGGCUUUGAAGCUUGGGUUUGGGAAUAGAAAGCUCAAUAUAGUUGUUUGGAUUUUGAUUUGGACGAGUAUUAUUAAAAUUUGUUGUAAAUGCUUGUAAGAAUUAGAAGCUGAAGUUUAAGAUCAUUUCAAACUGAUGUGAUGUGGUUUUGGUAGCUUCUUGAGCGUGUUUCAACUUUAACAGGUUAGCAGCCUUAGGGGUCGUUUGGUACGCGAAUUAACUUAGAAUGAGGUGGAAUAAUAUAAUCCCAAGUUUAAUGGGAUAAGGUGAGAUAUCCUAUAUUAAGAUUGGGAUUAAAUUUAUACCAUGUUUGGUUAACGGUAUAAAUUUAUAAUACUGCCAACCAAACAUGAUAUAAAUUUAAUUUCACACCUUAUCCCACCUUAUCUUGCGUACCAAACGACCCCUUAGGACCUUGUUUGGUGCAACUUUCAGCCUUUUAAAGCUUAAAAUAUGUAAUUAUUAUAAAUAUUUAAUGGAUAGAAUUCUUAAUAGGUAGAUCAAAAUAAUUAUUUUGAUUCCUAUAAGUAUUCUUGAUUUUAUCCCUUUGAAUUAUUUAUAUUGGGCUGGAACUCAUGCUCAAAAGUAAUCACCGUCGAAGUCCACGUAGAAAUACAAAUGAUAGUAAAUUAGGAAUUAACUUCAAAGAGAAUCUCGCAAUAAGAGGAUAGAAAAGGGCAGCCCGGUGCACUGAGCUCCUACUAUGCGCGAGGUCCGGGGAAGGGCCGGACCACAAAGAUCUAUUGUACGCAACAUUACCCUGCAUUUUUGCAAGAUGUUGUUUUCACGGCUCGAACCCGUGACCUCCUAGUCACAUGGCAACAACUUACCAGUUACGCCAAGCCUCCCCUUCAAAGUGGAUAGGCUGCCUGCCAAAAUUGUUAGAAGCAAUAUAAUUGAUACUCAUGAAGAAAUUAAGCAAUAAUGUAAUUCAAACUUAUUCUCUGAGAAAAGAAGGAUUAUUUACUCAAUGUAAGUGAAAAAGACAGAGAAAAUAGAUAGAUAAAAAUGGCUGUCCUCAGGUUAUAAAAAACUUUCUACUUGUAUUCAAUGUGGUCUUUGCACCUAACAUUUUUUUCUUCAACAUAAUAGUAAUAUUGGAAGACUAAAAGGUAUAUUAAUGGGGCAGGAGUAUUUACGUUAAUUCAAGACUCGUGUAUCAUUAAAAUUCCUUGUCGCACUUUUAAAAUGAAAAAAGUUUCUUCCCUUCCAUCGGAAUGCAGUUCUCAGAGAGGUGUUUGGUAUGAUAAUCUUGAGAGUGAUAAUACAUGGUGUUGGUAUUCCCCUUGGUGUUGGAUAUCGUAAGUUCAUACACUCACUCUUAAACACCCAACCCAAGAAAAACAUGUUUAAGAUAAAUUGUUAGUACGAUGAACUCAGAUAUCAAACUAGCAGAUAAUGGUGAUCUCCCUACUUAGGAUUUGGGCAAAGAAUAAUUAGAGCUUAAAUAUGAACCCACCAUUGGACGUCACCUAUUUUAACAAAUAACAUAUCUUCAACAAACGAAUUGUACAAGACAUUUACUUGUUGGUUUGUAGAUGAAAAUGUGUUUGGACAUCAGUUUUCAAAACAUAUUUAAUAUGAAACAUAACUUAUACUAACAAGUUCUAAAAACUAUCACAAAUACCCAACAAUACCAUUAUCAAGAACAUUCAUUAUAUUAUCGCAAAUCAUAGUUCUGAACAUAAAUAAAUUUGAUACAAAAUUAUCAUUUUUAUAAUAAAUUACAUGAUACACUAUCAGGUGACCGAGAAGACGAAGCAACAUUGUUACAAAAUAAUAAAUGGUGGGCUAUUUUAUAAAAUAUAAAAGUUUAGAGUAAUUUUUAAAAAAUAUAAUAGUGAUAUUUUGGCCAAAAACCAGCUAUGGGAUUUGGGAUUUUACAAAAAUAUAGGCAAAAUCUAUGGCCAAACAUGUGUUUGCCAAAUAAAAUCCAAAUUUAUUUUGGCAAAAUCUAUGGCCAAACAGGUACUUAAUCUUAAUUCACAGAAGGCAAAGAGUAGAAAAUUUUAAAAAGCUCAAAUUAAGUACUCUAGGCAACAUAAAUAGCAAAAAUCCUGAGCUGCCGUAUAAAACCAAGGCACCUCCUCAACACAAUGAAGACAGACUCGAAGUCACGCUCACCACCGCCUGUCAAGUACCCAGUUCUGAGAACAGCUACCUGACAUACAAGGCAGAGAACCAGAACCUAAAAGCAAAGACAAAACUAUAACAGAACUAAAUAAAACAGAGUCUACAUAACACACUUGACGAUAAUAGAUAGCAUUUCACUUUUUCUUCUGGGCGGCCUUGGUGAAUUUUGAAUUAACAACUACUUGUGUGUGUCCUUUUUUGUUCAAUCAAGAAAAUGCAACUAUCUACAAAAAAAAAACUCUCAAUCCAACUGUGCCUCAGUAUGAGCAUUGUUCAACUAUCUUAUCCUCAAAGUUUUAAAAUUUUAUGACUAAGCAAGAAUUCGCCACGACUUAUAUUCUAGUAUACAAGUCUUUAUCACUUAAAACUGUUCUGUCAAAAACAAACUUCACGUAUUAUCACUAAAUAGUUCAACUUCCAGUAAAUUUUCUUAACCAAAAAAAUAAUUUUGUCCUUAGCAAAUUACUGAACAAAAUUCACUUUGUAAGCAACAACAAAAGAUAAACCCUACAAAGAAAAGAAAGACAGAACGAAACAUUAACUACUACUUCCUUUGACAAAGGUAACAAAACCUGGAAGUUUUGCCAAGGCGAAUGAUUAGGUAAUAAUCCAUCAGAGUAUGAGACGAUUCUACCGGGGAAAAAAGUCCAACAAAGUUGAAUCUACUGCAAAAACAAUUAUGAUUCUCCUAUGGAGAUUUAGGAGAAUCAUAAUAAGCUCACAAUCUUUAUACUAUAUCAGCAACAUUAAGAUAUAUAAGCUGCUGCUGCUAAAAAAAGACAGACACACGAAGGCCCUACUAUUAAAUAAGAUUGAGGAGAACAGACAAAAGUGACAUGUGAUAUAAAACUUGCUCACAAAAUUAAACAAGUUCAUUAAUUAACCGACUAAAGCUCGUCAUAAAAUGUGAUAUAAAACCAGGCAAAGAAAUAACCACCAAAGAGCUAUUGUCAUUGCCCAUCAAGCAAUUUGGCUCGGGACCAAAUUGCUCAAUUACUCCACUAUCCUCAAAAGAGGCUAGAGAACCAUGACAAUAGCUUCUUGCGCCAUAUCCAGCACUGGUUAAAUGUCCAAAACAAAAUUGGAAAAAACUGAAGCAAAUAAACAAAACUAGUUCAUCCAAGCAGAAUCCCAUCAAAAGCACAACCUCACUUCUUCUUCUGAGCAGCUUUGGUCACCUUGGCACCGGUUGGGUCCUUCUUGUCGACAUUCUUGAUGACACCAACAGCAACAGUCUGACGCAUGUCCCUCACAGCAAAACGACCCAAUGGUGGGUACUCAGAGAAGGUCUCAACAACCAUAGGCUUGGUAGGAAUCAUCUUAACCAUACCAGCAUCGCCAUUCUUCAAGAACUUAGGCUCCUUCUCAAGUUCCUUACCAGAACGUCUGUCGAUCUUGGUCAAGAUCUCAGCGAACUUGACAGCAAUGUGGGAAGUGUGGCAGUCGAGAACUGGUGCAUAUCCAUUUCCAAUCUGACCAGGAUGGUUCAUGAUGAUGACCUGGGAGGUGAAACUGGCAGCCCCUUUGGCUGGGUCAUCCUUGGAGUUUGAGGCAACAUAACCACGCUUGAGAUCCUUAACAGCAACAUUCUUAACAUUGAACCCAACAUUGUCACCAGGGAGUGCCUCCUGGAGAGCUUCGUGGUGCAUCUCUACAGACUUGACUUCAGUUGUCAGACCAGUAGGCCCAAAGGUCACAAGCAUACCAGGCUUGAGGACACCUGUUUCAACACGACCAACAGGGACUGUACCAAUACCACCAAUCUUGUAAACGUCCUGAAGUGGAAGACGUAGGGGUUUGUCUGUGGGCCUCUUGGGCUCAUUAAUCUGGUCAAGAGCCUCAAGGAGGGUUGGCCCCUUGUACCAGUCAAGGUUGGUAGACCUCUCAAUCAUAUUGUCCCCCUCGAAACCAGAGAUGGGGACAAAGGGAAUCUUGUCAGGGUUGUAACCAACCUUCUUGAGGUAGGAAGAAACUUCCUUCACAAUUUCAUCAUACCUAGCCUUGGAGUACUUGGGGGUGGUAGCAUCCAUCUGCAC
rnacentral:lncRNA from 1 species